rnacentral:rRNA from 1 species
CCUACGGGGGGCUGCAGUGAGGAAUAUUGGUCAAUGGGCUUACGCCUGAACCAGCCAAGUCGCGUGAGGGAAGACUGCCCUAUGGGUUGUAACCCUCUUUUGUCAGGGAGCAAUGGGCGCUACGUGUAGCGUUAUCGAGAGUACCUGAAGAAAAAGCAUCGACUACCUCCGUGCCAGCGGCCGCGGGAAUACUGAGGAUGCGAGCGUUAUCCGGAUUUAUGGGGUUUAAAGGGUGCGUAGGCGGAAUGCCAAGUCAGCGGUAAAGUCGCGGGGCUCAAUCUCGCUCGGCAGUUGAAACUGGCGUUCUUGAGUGGGCGAGAGGUAGGCGGAAUGCGUGGUGUAGCGGUGAAAUGCAUAGAUAUCACGCAGAACGCCGAUUGCGAAGGCAGCAUACCGGCGCCCAACUGACGCUGAAGCACGAAAGCGUGGGUAUCGAACAGGAUUAGAUACCCGAGUAGUC